rnacentral:rRNA from 1 species
AGUCAAGUAAUUAAGUGCAUGUGGUGGAUGCCUUGGCAGUCAGAGGCGAUGAAAGACGUGAUAGCCUGCGAAAAGCUCCGGGGAGGCGGCAAAUAUCCUUUGAUCCGGAGAUGUCUGAAUGGGGGAACCCACCUACUUUAAGGUAGGUAUUGCAACAUGAAUACAUAGUGUUGCAAGGCGAACGAGGGGAAGUGAAACAUCUCAGUACCCUUAGGAAAAGAAAUCAAUUGAGAUUCCCUCAGUAGCGGCGAGCGAACGGGGAUCAGCCCAUUAAGUUAUGUGUGUUUUAGUGGAACGCUCUGGGAAGUGCGAACGUAGAGGGUGAUAUUCCCGUACACGAAAGGGCACACAUAAUGAUGACGAGUAGGGCGAGGCACGUGAAACCUUGUCUGAAUAUGGGGGGACCAUCCUCCAAGGCUAAAUACUCCUGGCUGACCGAUAGUGAACCAGUACCGUGAGGGAAAGGCGAAAAGAACCCCUGUGAGGGGAGUGAAAUAGAUCCUGAAACCGCAUGCAUACAAGCAGUGGGAGCACCUUCGUGGUGUGACUGCGUACCUUUUGUAUAAUGGGUCAGCGACUUAUAUUCAGUAGCGAGGUUAACCGUAUAGGGGAGCCGUAGAGAAAUCGAGUCUUAAUAGGGCGUUUAGUUGCUGGGUAUAGACCCGAAACCAGGCGAUCUAUCCAUGAGCAGGUUGAAGGUUGGGUAACACUAACUGGAGGACCGAACCCACUGUCGUUGAAAAGCCAGGGGAUGACUUGUGGAUAGGGGUGAAAGGCUAAUCAAGCCUGGUGAUAGCUGGUUCUCCCCGAAAGCUAUUUAGGUAGCGCCUCGGACGAAUACCAUAGGGGGUAGAGCACUGUUUCGGCUAGGGGGUCAUCCCGACUUACCAAACCGAUGCAAACUCCGAAUACCUAUGAGUACUAUCCGGGAGACAGACUGCGGGUGCUAACGUCCGUAGUCAAGAGGAAAACAAUCCAGACCGCCAGCUAAGGCCCCAAAAUCAUAGUUAAGUGGGAAACGAUGUGGGAAGGCAUAGACAGCUAGGAGGUUGGCUUAGAAGCAGCCACCCUUUAAAGAAAGCGUAAUAGCUCACUAGUCGAGUCGGCCUGCGCGGAAGAUGUAACGGGGCUAAAACUAUGUGCCGAAGCUGCGGAUGUAUACUUUGUAUACGUGGUAGGGGAGCGUUCUGUAAGCCGAUGAAGGUGUGUUGAGAAGCAUGCUGGAGGUAUCAGAAGUGCGAAUGCUGACGUGAGUAACGAACAAAACGGGUAGAAAACCCGUUCGACCGAAAGACCAAGGGUUCCAGUCCAACGUUAAUCGGGGCUGGGUGAGUCGACCCCUAAGGCGAGGCCGAAAGGCGUAGUCGAUGGGAAAAUGGUUAAUAUUCCAUUACUUCUGUGUAAUGCGAUGAGAGGACGGAGAAGGCUAAAUCAGCCUGGCGUUGGUUGUCCAGGUGAAAGGAUGUAGGCAUGUAUCUUAGGCAAAUCCGGGGUACUCUAUGCUGAGAUCUGAUAGCAAGCUGUACUUGUACAGCGAAGUGGUUGAUGCCAUGCUUCCAGGAAAAGUCUCUAAGCUUCAGUUACACAGGAAUCGUACCCGAAACCGUACACAGGUGGUCAGGUCGAGUAGACCAAGGCGCUUGAGAGAACUCUGCUGAAGGAACUAGGCAAAAUGGUACCGUAACUUCGGGAGAAGGUACGCUGUUGUUGGUGAUGGAACUCGCUUCCUGAGCUGACGACAGCCGCAGAAACCAGGCCGCUGCAACUGUUUAUUAAAAACAUAGCACUCUGCAAACACGAAAGUGGACGUAUAGGGUGUGAUGCCUGCCCGGUGCUGGAAGGUUAAUUGAUGGGGUUAGCGUAAGCGAAGCUCUUGAUCGAAGCCCCAGUAAACGGCGGCCGUAACUAUAACGGUCCUAAGGUAGCGAAAUUCCUUGUCGGGUAAGUUCCGACCUGCACGAAAGGCAUAAUGAUGGCGGCGCUGUCUCCAGCAGAGGCUCAGUGAAAUCGAAAUCGCUGUGAAGAUGCAGUGUACCCGCGGCUAGACGGAAAGACCCCGUGAACCUUUACUGCAGCUUGACACUGAACUUUGACCUUACUUGUGUAGGAUAGGUGGGAGGCUUUGAAGCUGGAACGCUAGUUCCAGUGGAGCCGUCCUUGAAAUACCACCCUGGUAAUGUUGAGGUUCUAACUCUGUCCCGUGAUCCGGGACGAGGACCGUGUCUGGUGGGUAGUUUGACUGGGGCGGUCUCCUCCUAAAGAGUAACGGAGGAGUACGAAGGUGCGCUCAGCGUGGUCGGAAAUCACGCGUAGAGUAUAAAGGCAAAAGCGCGCUUAACUGCGAGACCCACAAGUCGAGCAGGUACGAAAGUAGGUCUUAGUGAUCCGGUGGUUCUGUAUGGAAGGGCCAUCGCUCAACGGAUAAAAGGUACUCUGGGGAUAACAGGCUGAUACCGCCCAAGAGUUCAUAUCGACGGCGGUGUUUGGCACCUCGAUGUCGGCUCAUCUCAUCCUGGGGCUGAAGCAGGUCCCAAGGGUAUGGCUGUUCGCCAUUUAAAGAGGUACGCGAGCUGGGUUUAGAACGUCGUGAGACAGUUCGGUCCCUAUCUACCGUGGGCGCUGGAAAUUUGAGAGGAUCUGCUCCUAGUACGAGAGGACCAGAGUGGACGAACCUCUGGUGUACCGGUUGUGACGCCAGUCGCAUCGCCGGGUAGCUAUGUUCGGAAGGGAUAACCGCUGAAAGCAUCUAAGCGGGAAGCCUACCUCAAGAUAAGAUUUCCCUAGGACUUUAUGUCCUCUAAAGAGCCGUUCGAGACUGGGACGUUGAUAGGUUGGAUGUGGAAGCAUAGUGAUAUGUGAAGCUGACCAAUACUAAUUGCUCGUGAGGCUUGACUAUACAACACCC